UACGUAGGUGGCGAGCGUUAUCCGGAAUGACUGGGCGUAAAGGGAGUGUAGGCGGCUCAUCAAGUUAGAUGUGAAAUCCCGCGGCUUAACCGCGGAACUGCAUCUAAAACUGGUAAGCUGGAGUGCAGGAGAGGUGAGUGGAAUUCCUAGUGUAGCGGUGGAAUGCGUAGAUAUUAGGAGGAACACCAGAGGCGAAGGCGGCUAACUGGACUGCAACUGACGCUGAGGCACGAAAGUGUGGGGAGCAAACAGG
rnacentral:rRNA from 1 species